AUUGAACGCUGGCGGCAUGCUUUACACAUGCAAGUCGAGCGGCAGCGCGGCCUUCGGGCUGGCGGCGAGCGGCGAACGGGUGAGUAAUGCAUCGGAACAUGCCCAGUCGUGGGGGAUAACACUUCGAAAGAAGUGCUAAUACCGCAUACGUCCUGAGGGGGAAAGCGGGGGAUCGCAAGACCUCGCGCGAUUGGAGUGGCCGAUGUCAGAUUAGCUAGUUGGUGGGGUAAAGGCCUACCAAGGCGACGAUCUGUAGCUGGUCUGAGAGGAUGAUCAGCCACACUGGGACUGAGACACGGCCCAGACUCCUACGGGAGGCAGCAGUGGGGAAUUUUGGACAAUGGGGGCAAGCCUGAUCCAGCCAUGCCGCGUGAGUGAAGAAGGCCUUCGGGUUGUAAAGCUCUUUCGGCAGGAACGAAACGGUGGGCUCUAACAUAGUCCGCUAAUGACGGUACCUGAAGAAGAAGCACCGGCUAACUACGUG
rnacentral:rRNA from 1 species